rfam:Cloacibacillus evryensis DSM 19522 genomic scaffold CloevDRAFT_Scaffold1.1, whole genome shotgun sequence.
ACUUAGUUGCAACCCCGAGUUUCAUCUCCUAACGCGUGAUGCCAUGGAGGUGGGACCAGUGAGCCGAAGGGCUCCAAGGGUUUUUGCGGAAAACCGCGAAGCCUCCCGGGAUGCGCAAAGUGUCCGAAUUGGAAAGGGGUAAGUCUCGAUCGUUU